AUGAAAUGGCAAGUUAGGCAGGACUAGGAGUCAAAGAGGAUUCUGGGAAAUGUAGUAGAGAAGUGCUGAUCCAGACAGGAAAUGACAUAGCAAGGAGACUCAUUUAAGCGAAGGAGAAACAGGAAGGGCCCCUUUUUUCCCAUUUGCCUCCUCCAGCAGCAGGAUGUGAUCCACCGGCAAGGAGGGACGCCAACAAGGCGUCCGAUAAGAUAAGUCUUAUAAAAUAUAUAGAUGUAUGAUAAUUGAGACUGAGCUAACAGAUGAGAAUCCUAGUCAUUGGCCAAGCAGCAUUGUACCUAAUACAAGUUUCUGUGUAUUCAUUUGGGCCUAACUCAGGCAGGCGGCUGGUGUAUAGCUCACACGUGGCGGUGGGGCUCAGGCAGCUUUUGCCAGAAAGAUUUAUCGUAACACAGGCUAGUCUUGAACAGUGAUUCUCCUGUCUCAGUCCUCCAGAUGCUGGGAUUACAGGCCUGAGCUACCAAGUCCCCCUAAGAGUUGGUUUUCUAAGAAGGGCAGGGUUCUUUCUUCCUACUGUUGGGCCAUGGCGGAAACUGCUCAGACUUCCAGUUCAGCCCCAGGAGUCCCAGUCUUGUGUCCUCCGGGUGUGUGGACUCAGAUGCCUCUGCCCUUCUGAGCCCCAGACUCAGCAUCCAUGUAACAAGGACAAUUUCCAUGUUGUUGAGAAGAAAAUGAAGAGAGAAAGCUUCACCAUCCUUCCAGAUCUCCUCAGAUGGGGCCACAUGCCUGCAACAGAAAUAGUCCCCAGUGGGUUUAGCAGGCAGCAGCGAAGAAAUACAGGUAUGGUGGGAGAGGAACCAACGGAUGGCACUGCGGAGAAGAAACAUCAGCAGAACUUUUUUGUAUUUAACAACUCUUCCACGAAAAAUGCACGGCAAGGGGCUGUUGAGAUGGCUUACCGAGUAAAGACACUUGCUACCAAGCCUGCUGACCUGAGCUUGAUUCCCCAGACCCACACAGUAGAAGGAGAGAACCAACUCCUACAAGUUGUCCUCUGACUUCCACACAUGUGCCAUGCAAGUGUGCAUACACACACACACACACACACACACACACACACACACACACACCGAUUAGAAAGAACAUUGUCUCUGGGCAGGCAAUCUAUGCAGUAACUUUUUUUGUUAGCUAUGCCAAAAUUAUUCCAUCAAGAUACUCCAGCCACACGGUGGGGUGUGGGGUCAUUUUUCCCUCUCACAUCUUCUUACCUUUGCCUAUCUUUCUACCCAGCCUCAGCCUCACACACGAGCAUGCCCCCAAUUCCCCCCAAAUAAAUGAAUACAUAAAUAAAAAUGUAAUAGUUGU
rnacentral:lncRNA from 1 species